rnacentral:rRNA from 1 species
GACGAACGCUGGCGGCGUGCCUAACACAUGCAAGUCGAGCGAGUUGAUUCUCUUCGGAGAUGAAGCUAGCGGCGGACGGGUGAGUAACACGUGGGCAACCUGCCUCAUAGAGGGGAAUAGCCUUCCGAAAGGGAGAUUAAUACCGCAUAAGAUUGUAGCUUCGCAUGAAGUAGCAAUUAAAGGAGCAAUCCGCUAUGAGAUGGGCCCGCGGCGCAUUAGCUAGUUGGUGAGGGAACGGCUCACCAAGGCGACGAUGCGUAGCCGACCUGAGAGGGUGAUCGGCCACAUUGGGACUGGGACACGGCCCAGACUCCUACGGGAGGCAGCAGUGGGGAAUAUUGCACAAUGGGGGAAACCCUGAUGCAGCAACGCCGCGUGAGUGAUGACGGCCUUCGGGUUGUAAAGCUCUGUCUUCAGGGACGAUAAUGACGGUACCUGAGGAGGAAGCCACGGCUAACUACGUGCCAGCCGCCGCAGUAA